rnacentral:rRNA from 1 species
UACGUAGGUGACAAGCGUUGUCCGGAUUUACUGGGCGUAAAGAGCGCGCAGGCGGUCGAUCAAGUCGAGUGUGAAAGCCCCCGGCUCAACUGGGGAGGGUCAUUCGAUACUGAUCGACUCGAAGGCAGGAGAGGGUAGUGGAAUUCCCGGUGUAGUGGUGAAAUGCGUAGAUAUCGGGAGGAACACCAGUGGCGAAAGGCGACUACCUGGCCUGUUCUUGACGCUGAGGCGCGAAAGCUAGGGGAGCAAACGGG